GUCAGGAUGCUCGAGUGGUCUAAGGCGCUGUGUUAAGGUUUCAGUCUCUUCUGGAGGUGUGGGUUCAAAUCCCCCCUCCCCUGACA